UGGGAACAAAAAAAAAAUGGCACUAACUCAGAUCUGGCUUAUCUCUCACUCACUCUCACUCUCUGUACUUAUCUCUUCAUUAGAUCUAUGAAGUUUGUCGAAGAUUUGAAGGUUGAUUCUUGAAGAUUCGAAGGUUGAUUAUCCAGAUUUGCAGUUGUCUCUUUCGAUUUUAUCUCAUCGUUCAUCAAUUGGUCGAUUAUUCUACAUGAAACUUGUUUGAGAUUUGGCUUCUCAAAUCUGUUCAAAAGAGGCUCUUAGAAUUCAUACUUGCUACAUUCCAUCGAUCUCUUGAUUUUGUUGCACUUCUGAAGAAGCCUAUAAUUGACAGACUUGGAGAAGCUUAUGACAGCCCCUGCAAAGACAGAGCUGGCCUUACAAUUGUGUUGGGCCAUUGGGGAGCACAGAGGGGGUGGUGAAAUCUCACAAAGAUGCAGCUCAUAAACUUUUCAAGAGUUUGGAACUACUUCUGUAUGAAAACCUUUCAUCCAUCCAGUCGUCUUGGUUGGGAAAGUUGCGUACUAUAAUAGAGAGAGAUUACAAUAAAUUAAUUUAUAAGAAAUGAUAUCCACCAUCAAUGAUGAAUUGAUUCAUGAAAUGAUUUGUAACCCUAGUUCAUCAUCCACCUAUCAGUGAUACAAUAAAUGAUCUGUUGUGAUGGUUCACAUAUCAAAGAAAGGAAAAAAUAAGAAGUAGAUUUGACAAACUCAAUGAAAGAAGAAAGUUGGAGAAAUUCUCUUUUGGAGUAACAAUUAAAGCAUUGUCUUAGGAGUUUUUGAGUUGUUUUGGGAAAAGAUUGAAAGCUGGGGGGAGGGGUGGGAUGAAAAACUUAUGUUUGGGUCCUAUAUUACAGUAACAGGUUGAUGUAGUUGCAUCUCUAUUGAUGGCUAAUAAGAGAGAGCCCUAACAAGCACAUAACUAUUGGAAAAGGUGCUUCAUAUAUGUGUGUGUAUUUGAUGCACAUUACUCUUACAUGUAACCUGACAUUUUUUAUUUUUCUACAUGAUGAAAUUUUGAGAACAAAAA